AUCUCUCACUAGAAAUUUCCACUAAUGCUUUAAAUAAACAUUUAGGUUUCAUCUUCUCACAAGGACUUCAUCUUCUUGCUUACCAAGUUUUUGUUUCGAGCUUGGUCUAUUCUUCAGGUUCGUCUAAAUUCGAAUCAAGGAGGUAACGAAUGGGAAAAGAGAUUAAACAACGAGAUUUAUGGAUAACCAUCCUCAUCAAUUAGCUUGGACAAAUCAAGAUGAUGAGAUAUUAAUUGAGCCAUCUGAGCAUGUGGAAGAGUUUAUGGAGGAGAAAAAAUGUACCUGUAUUCUUGAAUUUAUUGUUUCAAAAUUGAAAAAUGAUAUUCCUCAUUUAAGGGCCAAGAAUUGCAACAUACAAUUUCUAUUGCUUGGUUCCUUUAUUUUUGUACCGCUACCUCUUGUACGAGAUAGAAAAAUUGAUGCAAAAUUGGGGGUGCAAUUCAUAUCUUCAAAGUGGAAGGAAAAAUAGUAAUACUGAUGGUGUCGUUCCGCGAUGUUAAAUCAGGGGUUUCAUGGGAGGCAACCUAUGUGAAAACUUGAUGAAGUUUGAGUAGUCAAGUGACCAACAUUGUGCCGCGAUGUUAAAUCAACCGCUUAUUGGGACGCAACCCAAUUUGAAGUGUAGCUUCUUAUUUUUAUUUUUAUAGUGUCACUUUUUUGUGUUGUUUUGUUUUUGUAGAUUUAGGGGAAGUCCGAGUACCCAAAUUUAAAGCUAAAGAACACUUGUUUAGUUUAGUGUGGGUUCUCACAACCCAUGAUUAAAAUUGAAUAAACAUGUUGUUAGC